rnacentral:rRNA from 1 species
GAUAAACGCUGGCGGCGUGCUUCAGGCAUGCAAGUCGAACAGACACUACGGUGUCAGUGGCGGACGGGUGAGUAACACGUAAGUAACCUGCCCAGAAGUGGGGAAUAACUGGCCGAAAGGCCGGCUAAUACCGCAUGUGAUGGCUCUUCCCUGGAGGGGUCAUGAAAGGAUUUAUUCGCUUCUGGAGGAGCUUGCGGCCGAUUAGCUAGUUGGUGGGGUAAUGGCCUACCAAGGCUGCGAUCGGUAGCUGGUCUGAGAGGACGGUCAGCCACACGGGGACUGAGAUACGGCCCCGACUCCUACGGGAGGCAGCAGCUAGGAAUCUUGGGAAUGGGCGAAAGCCUGACCCAGCAACGCCGCGUGGGCGAUGAAGGCCUUCGGGUUGUAAAGCCCUUUUGCGGGGGAAGAUGAUGACGGUACCCCGCGAAUAAACCACGGCUAACUACGUGCCAGCAGCCGCCGUAA